rnacentral:rRNA from 1 species
AUGUACCGUGCCCUCACACAUUCUAAGGUACCAGUGAGCAAUAACAAAAAAAAUUGGAAGGCAAAGAUUUCACUUAAAGUUAAAAUCGUUACAUGGUACCUUUGUAGGGGAGUUGUGUUAAACAAAGACAAUCUCGCACGGCAAAACUGGCCAGGAAAUAAGUAGUGUUGUUUUUUUACUCACGAUGAGGCAAUCAAAUACCUCUUUUUCCAAUGUCAGUUUGCUCGUUCUAUGUGGCCAGUCAUCCUAAUAGCGACAAAUUUAUAUCCGCCGAUAAGUGUUCCCAAUGUUUUUGGUCAUUGGUUGGACGGUAUUUCAAAUAGUUUUAAAACGCUAAUAAGGGUGACAGUGUAUGCCUUACUAUGGUCGCUUUGGUUAUGUAGGAAUGAUUUGGUUUUCAAUGACAAAAAUGCUUCUCCUUUAUAG